UACAGAGGUGGCAAGCGUUAUUCGGAAUUAUUGGGCGUAAAGGGCGCGUAGGCGGCUUGGCAAGUGGAUGGUGAAAUCCCUCGGCUUAACCGAGGAACUGCCGUCCAAACUGCUUAGCUUGAGACCGGGAGAGGUGAGUGGAAUUCCCAGUGUAGCGGUGAAAUGCGUAGAUAUUGGGAGGAACACCAGUGGCGAAGGCGGCUCACUGGACCGGUACUGACGCUGAGGCGCGAAAGCGUGGGGAGCAAACGGG
rnacentral:rRNA from 1 species